AAUGGGCGCAAGCCUGAUCCAGCCAUGCCGUGUGAGUGAUGAAGGCCCUAGGGUCGUAAAGCUCUUUCGCCAGGGAUGAUAAUGACAGUACCUGAUAAAGAAACCCCGGCUAACUCCGUGCCAGCAGCCGCGGUAAUACGGAGGGGGUUAGCGUUGUUCGGAAUUACUGGGCGUAAAGCGCACGUAGGCGGAUCGGAAAGUUGGGGGUGAAAUCCCGGGGCUCAACCCCGGAACUGCCUCCAAAACUAUCGGUCUAGAGUUCGAGAGAGGUGAGUGGAAUUCCGAGUGUAGAGGUGAAAUUCGUAGAUAUUCGGAGGAACACCAGUGGCGAAGGCGGCUCACUGGCUCGAUACUGACGCUGAGGUGCGAAAGUGUGGGGAGCAAACAGGAUU
rnacentral:rRNA from 1 species